CUCUCUACCUCUCCCUCCUCCUCCUCCUCCUCCUCCUCCUCCUACCACUAAACAAAGAAACUUCGUAACGGGCAAAAUAAAUAAACAACUAAAACAAAAUAAAAUCCCAGCUGCACAGAGUCUUCUUUGUGAAAAUAGUUUUCAAUUUUUCAUAAUCUUUUCCUUUAUUCGUCAUCACCAAUUCCCUUCCUCUUUCGUUUUUUUAACAUUCUUUAAUUUGUUUCCUUAGAUAUUUCAUCAUAUUUCUGUUGCAUGUAAUCUUCUUCCAUUUUAUCUUGGCCUUCUAAUGUUGUUAAGAUUGAAGGCAUUGUUUUCUUUUCUGGGUUAUCUCCAAAGUUGAUGGAUAUGCCAAUGCUUUGAAGGAUAAAGAAGGAUAUCUGUAUUUUGGGUGGCAUUUUGUUCUUUAACAGAAAGAAGAAGAUCAUGUGUUUGUGUUUGAUUGGUUUUGCAUUUUAUGUGAUAAUUUAAACGGCAUUAUCGCAUUCCAUUGGAGCAUGAGAAGGGGAUUAUGCGAAUGGGAUGGUGAUUUGAGAGGCAAUGGAAUUGAGAAAAUUUGUCAAUGCAUUUGUGUUGGUGAUAAUUCUGCUUUGCUCGUUUGCUAUUGGGAGUACACAGGGCGUGAGGAGGCAAGAGAAAAUGCUUUUUGGCAAUGGCUUUUCCGAGACAAAUGAAGAAAUUGCAGAGCUCGCAUGCAUCCAUUGUAGGAAAGCAUUGAUUGACAGGAAGGGUUGUUUUGAAGGUUUCGAUUUCUAUUUACCUCAAGAAGCAACAACAAAUUCAAAAUCAACAUACAUAUGUGAAGCUAUCUGUAUUUUGCCAUCCUUUCUGAAACAGGAAUUUUUGGAUUGCUUGUGGAAAAAUAAAUUAAUAUUUGUUGUUUCUGCCCAAGGGGAUAGCCCCACAUCUUGGGUCACGAAGUAUUCUGGGUUACAAAGUGAUGGAAGAAGAUUUCUAGCUGGUAAGUCUCAUGGGCAGAUUGCACAAGGGCAUGCUCCAUAUUUGGUUCCAGAACUUGCAUCAACAUCCCCAUUUUACAUUCCAGCUCCUUCUAAUUCAGAACCUACCCAUUCUCCAUCCUCAAAUCCACUGCCUCAUCCAUUAUUUCGAAAGAGGUUACUGCAAAAACGAGAAAUGAAUAAUUCAACUCGCCAUUCUCCACGACGUGCAACUCGUGAACAUUCUCCACCAGGAUCACAUGCUCGUUCGCAUAAGUCCCCACAAGCUUCUAAUGACAAGACGAAAAUAAUUUUCAUAGCUGUUGCAGCAACUGCAGCAACAACUUUUUGUUUUUUUGCUGCACUUUUCUGUUGCUUCUUAUAUUGUAUGCAGCGUAGAAAUAACAAAGUUGGACCUAGAAUUGGACAAAGGGAUGACAGCCCUCUCCUCCACUUAAGUGAUCUCUCUCCUUGUUCUUCUCCACAUUCAUCUGGUUCUAAUUCAUAUUUCAAAGAGCACAGCCCAAAUAGCAAAAUGACUUCUCCUUUGAGGAGCAAUCUGUCUAUGAAGAAUGGAAAUUAUGAUCCUUGGCUAGUUGAAAUAACAUCACCAACAUUCAGUGCAGAAGCAUUUCCUCCUUUAAAACCUCCCCCUGGGGGACUAGUUCCUCCACCUGGGAGACUAGUUCCUCCACCUGAGAGACCAGUUCCUCCAGCUCCUGGACCAUCACCACCUGUUCCUCCAACUCCUGGACCAUCACCACCUGUUCCUCCACCUCCUGGACCAUCACCUCCUCCUGGUCUUUGUCCCCCACCACCUCCCCCAAAAGUUGCUCGUGGUCCACCUGCUCCUCCACCAAAGGCAAACUUAAAGCCUUCACCUCUUGGACCACAUUGUAGGAAUGAUAAUGGUUUUAGUUCAUCUGGAUCUUCAAAGGCCAAGUUAAAGCCAUUCUUUUGGGAUAAAGUUGUGGCCAGCCCUGGUCAAUCAGUGGUCUGGCAUGAGAUCAGUUCUGGAUCAUUCCAGUUCGAUGAGGAGAUGAUAGAAUCCUUGUUUGGUUAUAAUGCUGUAGACAAGAGCAAAAGUGAUAGCCAAAAAAAUUCAUCUGAACCUUCAAUCCAGUAUAUACAGAUUAUUGAUCCUCGGAAAGCACAAAAUUUGUCAAUUCUUCUAAGAGCUUUGGAUGUAUCUACAGAAGAAGUCGUCAAUGCCUUGCAGAAUGGUACUGAACUUCCAGCAGAGCUCCUUCAAACAUUACUGAGGAUGGCACCGACAUCAGAUGAAGAAUUGAAGCUUAGAUUAUUCACGGGUGAUAUUUCUCAACUGGGGCCUGCGGAGCAUUUCCUCAAAAUUUUGGUUGAUAUCCCCUUUGCUUUUAAACGAAUGGAAUCACUAGUGUUCAUGAGUUCUUUACAGGAAGAAAUAUCAAUCCUCAAGGAGUCCUUUGCAGCUCUUGAGGUAGCUAGUGACAAGCUUAGAAACAGCAGGCUGUUCCUAAAACUAUUGGAAGCAGUUCUCAAAACUGGUAACCGCAUGAAUGAUGGUACAUAUCGUGGUGGUGCAAGGGCCUUUAAGCUUGACACACUCUUGAAACUCUCUGAUGUUAAAGGAACUGAUGGCAAGACUACCCUCUUGCACUUUGUCAUCCAGGAGAUUAUCCGUUCUGAAGGUAAACGAGCUCUCCGCAGCAUAAAAGCGAGCCAGAGUACUUGUAGUUUAAAGUCAGAGGAUUUGGUUGAGGAUACUAAUCAGUCAUCAGAACACUAUCGUAACCUGGGUCUUAAGGUUAUUUCAGGCUUAAGCAAUGAAUUAGAAGACGUAAAAAAUGCAGCAGCAGUAGAUGCUGACGUCCUAACAUCUACAGUUUCUAAACUCAAACAAUCGCUGACAAAAGCUAAAGCAUUUCUAAAUUCUGAGAUGAAGACUUCAGGUGAAGACAGUGAGUUCCAUGUUGCAUUGGCUACUUUUGUGGAUCAUGCAAGCUCGCAAAUCUCAUGGCUAUCAGAAGAAGAAAAUAGGAUAAUGGCUCGGGUGCAAAGCACAGCAGAUUAUUUUCACGGGAAUGCAGGAAAGAAUGAAGGUUUGCAUUUGUUCACAGUUGUCCGUGAUUUCUUGAUAAUGUUAGAUAAGGCAUGUAAAGAUGUCAGAGAUGACACAGCAACAGAACUGAGGAAAUCUAAGGAGACUCCAGAAGUGUCAGAUUCUCCUGAAAAUCGUCAGCAAUCUGAUAACGGUCGCCAGCAAUUAUUUCCCACUAUCACCGGAAGGCAGAUUGACUAUUCUAGCUCAGAUGAUGAAAGCCCAUCUGCUUAGCUUUACUCUGGAGGGUGGCGUGGAUAUCCUGGAGGCUUCAUAACUCUAUUGUACACUUUACACUGAGAAAAAAGAUUCGCAUACCUCAAUCCUGCCUGUGGCAGCAUACGUGCAUGUCAUUCUUGAAAUUCCUUGAUUUAAAUGAUGCUUAAAAUUUUAGGGAGGUGUUAAAUUUCAGUUAGUACUUUUGUUGAGAAAUCCUUUGUUUUAGGUGUAUUUCUUUUGUUCAAGAUCAUUGGAAGCUGCCCUUUUCGUCUUGAGGUGAGGUAACAUACUUUGCUCUCUCUCUUAUUCUUAGUAUUAAUAAUUAUUAUUUAGGCAGAAUAAAGAAAUUGUGUUUUGGAAGCCCAGCUGACUGUGAACUUUGCAGUUCUACAUGUACACGAACUUGAAGCAAGUUCAGUUUUGUUCGCCAUUUGUGCUGAAUAUAUUCUUAACCAAAGACUUGUGGAUCAUUAAAAUGAGUUUGUUGAGAUUCAAACUCAGAGUUCAUUUCUACAAAGUUGAUGAAACUAAUUAGAGAAGAUCUUCAUGGUGUAUUUGAUCUUCAUGGUGUAUUUGAUCUUCACGUAUAGAGUGUGUAACUCUUCAAUUUGCUACAUUGUUUGAUUCAUUCGCUUUGUGCGGAAUAAUUUAUUUGG